UACGUAGGGUGCGAGCGUUGUCCGGAAUUAUUGGGCGUAAAGCGCUUGUAGGCGGUCUGUCGAGUCUGCUGUGAAAAUCCGGGGCUCAACCCCGGACGUGCAGUGGGUACGGGCAGACUAGAGUGUGGUAGGGGAGACUGGAAUUCCUGGUGUAGCGGUGAAAUGCGCAGAUAUCAGGAGGAACACCGAUGGCGAAGGCAGGUCUCUGGGCCGCUACUGACGCUGAGAAGCGAAAGCAUGGGGAGCGAACAGG
rnacentral:rRNA from 1 species